rnacentral:rRNA from 1 species
UACGAAGGGGGCUAGCGUUGCUCGGAAUCACUGGGCGUAAAGCGCACGUAGGCGGCUUUUUAAGUCAGGGGUGAAAUCCUGGAGCUCAACUCCAGAACUGCCUUUGAUACUGAGAAGCUUGAGUCCGGGAGAGGUGAGUGGAACUGCGAGUGUAGAGGUGAAAUUCGUAGAUAUCUGGAGGAACACCGGUGGCGAAGGCGGCAUCCUGGACCAAUAUUGACGCUGAGGAGCGAAAGCCAGGGGAGCAAACGGG